CGUGUACGACGAGGGCCGUCCGCCGUCUGCGAGUCGUUUUAGGCGCCACCGUGUCCGUCUCUUCGUCACCGUCUCUCACUGCAGAUACGUCCCGAGCGCAUCACAGCACACAUUAUGCCAUUAUUCGCCGCCGUGCGUUGUGGUCCGGAC